ensembl:lncRNA
AUUAUGCAGGGCUAGCCAAAGGAGCCUAAACCAUGUAGGACAAAAUUGCAAAGAUAUAGACAUUAUUAUUUUUAACUUUUGUUUUAGUUUGUCAUCUAUAUCUGGGCUUUUUAUGCUCAGGAAAAACGUGGAACUCACUAUGAAAUGCAGAAUCUCUGCAAAUCAGUCCCGAGAGCCCCCACGAUCCUUCACUGAAGUCAAGGAAUCGAACACUCAGCUCGUAGAGCGGAUUGCUCAUUCCUCGCAGCUGAUAUCACAUGGGGGCCUACACUGGUCUGGAGUAAAGAGAAAUAAAUCGGAAACUUGCGAUAACUCUAGAACCAUGGUCCUUAAAGUACGGCUCCCCAACCAGCACCAUCAGUUUCACCUGGGAACUUGUUAGAAAUGCAGUUUCUCAGAACCCAGCCCAGACCUGCUCUGUCAGAAGCUCUAGGGGUGCCUCGUAUUCUCCAUUUAGCAAGUUCUCCAGUUGAUUCUGCUGCAGGCUGAACUUUGAGAACCACUGCUCUGGAUAAGAUUGAAGGCAAUUCCCGAAAGCUGAAGAGAGAUCACCAUAGACAUGUGGCAUCAUCUGUAUAUCCUCUAGUAGAAAGCAGGAGCCGCACUCCCCAGGUCUAGAACCGGAAGUGCGCCUCAUUAUGAAAUGAGCCACAUUUGAAGCUUUGCAAAGAUACGUGCAAGGCCCUAGACCAAGAAUCAGCAGCAUUGGCUGAGGGUUUCACAUCUUCUGAUUAUCUUUUGCUACAAACGUGGUUAUUUAUGUACUCCCAAUUACAAUCUUGUAAUUUUACCUUCCAUAGGGAAUAUCGCACUAAGCCAGUCAUUUAGACCACAAGAAAUUAAAAAAUUAAAUCAAGCUAGGAAAUCCUGGGUACAAAUUUUGUCCAUUGUGGCACUUUAUAGGUGGCCAGCUCAAGUGGUAGAUAUCUUACUCUCUGAAGUUCACCCCUCUCUCAUCCCUAUGGCAGCUCAACUUUCUAUUAGAUUCCAAUUCUUGAGAAAACAAAGCCAGCCUUUCUGCCUCAUUUUUGGGGCACAAUCCUAGAGUGAAGAUAAAAUCAUUUUCCAUAUCACUUCCUAACACCCCAGUGUGGGCAGAGGAGAGUAGGGCUUUAAGGGUAGAAAAGCAAAAGUAGGAUCUUCUUGGCAAGAAGAGAAAAAUACAUAAACCUGUUGGAAAAUAAAACAAAAACUUCUCACCCAUCAAAUGACCACUCCAUCCAGCAACAGAGUUUAAAAUACUUCGAAGAGCCAUACUACGUUGGAAACAGUAAACUCUGGAUUCAAAUAUACUGUUGGUAUUCAGAGUCUCAGAACAAUCCUCAAGUCCCAGCUUUGCUCCACUUAUGCUCAUAUUUUCAAAUGAUUAUUUUUGUGCUGAAGGAAAUACCUGUAGGACUCAAAGUUACUUUGGAGACAUAUAGAAAAUAAGAUUUAUGCGUGAGCGUUCAGAAGAAAUGAAAGCAUUUACACGGGCCGUCUUCCAGCCAGUCUGGUUUCUUUGGGAAGAAGAGCAAUUAAAAACUUGACACACUAUCAAAAAAUGAUGCAAUGGAAAUUAAAUUGCAUGGAUUUUCGAUGGACAAAAGGAUUCAGUGCAAAGUAUGUUUUAAAGAACAACAUCUAAAUACAAUGAUGGCAUAUUUACUCACUGAAUCGAAUGUUAAGGUGCUCUCGGAUGAGAUUAACAUUGAAAUGGGUAGACUGAGUAAGGCAGAUUGCUCUUCCUAAUGGGAGCGGCCCUAUGGGAGCAGCUGAAGGCCUGAACAGAACAAAAGGCUGAUCCCCCUUCCCCAUCCCACAGUGAGUUAGGAUUCCUGCUGCCUGACUGCCUGUGAACUGGGACCGCAUUUUUUCCUGCCUUCCGACCUAAAUGGAAGUGUCAGCUCAGCCUGGGCCUCAAGCCUGCCAGCUGUGGACUGGACCUACAGCCCUGGCUCCUGGGGCUGGGGUCUUUGGACUCGGACUGGAACCGAACCAGCAGCUCUCCUGGGUCUGCAGCGUGACAAAUCUUCGAACUUGUCAGCCUCCAAAAUUGCAUGAGCCCGUUCUUUAUUCUCAUUCUCUCUCUCAGUUCUGUUUCUCGGGAGAACCCUGACUAAUACAAAUCUUAUAUUGGUGGUCUGUAAAAUAGAGAUAAUAUUCUUUGCUCUGCCUAUCUGACAAAGAGUCUGGGUAAGCCCCGAGUCCACCAAGUCCAUUGUAAACAUCCAGAAUGGCAGGUAGGAUGGUGUCGAAUAACAUUACCGUCCCCUCAGCGAUUGCUGAAAAUCCGUUUCUGCUAUGGUUGGAGCAGGGACUGGUUUGGGAAUCUCGGCUACCCCCCAGUCAUCUCUUCCUUACUAAAAAAGGUCCAU